AUACUCUGGUUUCUCUUCAGAUCUAAUAAAUCUUUCGCUGUUGCUAAGAUGUCCGUAGAGAGAAAUAACCAUGAGUUUCAUAUAAUUUUUUUUUGAUGCCUGGCUACGGCUGGCUU